GAUGAACGCUGGCGGCGUGCCUAAUACAUGCAAGUCGAGCGAACAGAUGAGGAGCUUGCUCCUCUGACGUUAGCGGCGGACGGGUGAGUAACACGUGGAUAACCUACCUAUAAGACUGGGAUCACUUCGGGAAACCGGAGCUAAUACCGGAUAAUAUAUUGAACCGCAUGGUUCAAUAGUGAAAGACGGCUUUGCGGUCACUUAUAGAUGGAUCCGCGCCGCAUUAGCUAGUUGGUAAGGUAACGGCUUACCAAGGCAAGGAUGCGUAGCCGACCUGAGAGAGUGAUCGGCCACCCGGGAACUGAGACACGGUCCAGACUCCUGCGGGAGGCAGCAGUAGGGAAUCUUCCGCAAUGGGCGAAAGCCUGACGGAGCAACGCCGCGUGAGUGAUGAAGGUCUUCGGAUCGUAAAACUCUGUUAUUAGGGAAGAACAAAUGUGUAAGUAACUAUGCACGUCUUGACGGUACCUAAUCAGAAAGCCACGGCUAACUACGUG
rnacentral:rRNA from 1 species